UUGAGUGCAAAAAAAAUAAGGGCUUAAUUGCUUCUUCUUUUUUAAAGUUUGAGAGCUUUUCACACCCUUAAGCCUUUAUUUUUCUUUCAAAAUCCCUAACCUCUUAGAUAUGCUAACCUUCUUUUCCACCCUGAUUAGCCAAUCAUCGGCCACAACCUUUCUCCUCCUCUCUUUGCCCUCUUCCUUUCCCUCAAUUUCAUUCUUUUUUUCCUUCUUUUUUUAUUCUUCCAUUUGUUGCUACUUUUGGUUGCUAUCGGUGAGGUCUUCAACAGUGUUGUCGUCUUCGACCCUUAUCGAUAAUGUCCCUUUUGCUUUCUUUUUUGUCAUCCUCUUUUUCGUUCACUUUCUUUCAUUUUACUUUUCCUUCUCCACUUACCCCUUUCACUCCACUCUCACUUCCGCUAAUCUCUUGCCAAUCACCACUUGUUUUUCAACAAAUUUCAUGUUUGAAAU
rnacentral:lncRNA from 1 species